rnacentral:piRNA from 1 species
UUGAGUAUGAACGUCUCAAAUAUGACACU